rnacentral:rRNA from 1 species
AGAGUUUGAUCAUGGCUCAGAACUAACGCUGGCGGCGUGCCUAACACAUGCAAGUCGUACGAGAAAGCUGGCUUCGGCCGAUGAGUAAAGUGGCGCACGGGUGAGUAACGCGUGGAUAAUCUACCCCUCAGUUGGGAAUAACUCAUCGAAAGGUGGGCUAAUACCGAAUAAUACUGCAUAACUUCUGUUGUGUAGUCAAAGAUGGCCUCUGCUUGCAAGCUAUCGCUGAAGGAUGAGUCCGCGUACCAUUAGCUAGUUGGUAGGGUAAUGGCCUACCAAGGCAACGACGGUUAGCUGGUCUGAGAGGAUGAUCAGCCACACUGGAACUGAGACACGGUCCAGACUCCUACGGGAGGCAGCAGUGAGGAAUAUUGCGCAAUGGGGGCAACCCUGACGCAGCAACGCCGCGUGAGUGAGGAAGGUUUUCGGACCGUAAAGCUCUGUCGAGCGGGAAGAAAUGCAUAGUGGUCAAUAUCCAUUAUGCUUGACGGUACCGCUAAAGGAAGCACCGGCUAACUCCGUGCCAGCAGCCGCGGUAAUACGGGGGGUGCUAGCGUUGUUCGGAAUCAUUGGGCGUAAAGAGCGUGUAGGCGGCUGGAUAAGUCAGAUGUGAAAGCCCUGGGCUUAACCCAGGAAGUGCAUUUUAAACUGUUCAGCUUGAGUAAGGGAGAGGAAAGUGGAAUUCCUGGUGUAGAGGUGAAAUUCGUAGAUAUCAGGAGGAACACCGGUGGCGAAGGCGACUUUCUGGCCCUAUACUGACGCUGAGACGCGAGAGCGUGGGUAGCAAACAGGAUUAGAUACCCUGGUAGUCCACGCUGUAAACGAUGUUCACUAGGUGUUGGGGGUAUUGACCCUCUCAGUGCCGCAGCUAACGCAUUAAGUGAACCGCCUGGGGAGUACGGUCGCAAGAUUAAAACUCAAAUGAAUUGACGG